UACGGAGGAUGCAAGCGUUAUCCGGAAUUACUGGGCGUAAAGCGCACGCAGGCGGUCUUUUAAGUUUGACGUGAAAGCUCCCGGCUUAACUGGGAGAGGUCGUUGAAGACUGGAAGACUUGAGGCAAUGAGAGGGGUGUAGAAUUCCCGGUGUAGUGGUGGAAUGCGUAGAUAUCGGGGGGAAUACCAGUGGCGAAAGCGGCACCCUAGCGUUAGCCUGACGCUCAUGUGCGAAAGCGUGGGGAGCGAACGGG
rnacentral:rRNA from 1 species